CCUACGGGGGGCAGCAGUGGGGAAUAUUGGUCAAUGGGCGCAAGCCUGACCCAGCAACGCCGCGUGAAGGAAGAAGGCUUUCGGGUUGUAAACUUCUUUUGUCAGGGAAGAGUAGAAGACUGUACCUGACGAAUAAGCCACGGCUAACUACGUGCCAGCAGCCGCGGUAAUACGUAGGUGGCAAGCGUUGGCCGGAUUUACUGGGUGUAAAGGGCGUGUAGCCGGGUUGACAAGUCAGAUGUGAAAUCCUGCGGCUUAACCGCAGAACUGCAUUUGAAACUGUUGAUCUUGAGUACUGGAGAGGCAGACGGAAUUCGUGGUGUAGCGGUGAAAUGCGUAGAUAUUAGGCGGAACGCCGGUGGCGAAGGCGGUCUGCUGGACAGCAACUGACGGUGAGGCGCGAAAGCGUGGGGAGCAAACAGGAUUAGAUACCCGUGUAGUC
rnacentral:rRNA from 1 species